CUUAUAAAGAAUUUUUGUGAACUUUUAUCUCUGGACUCUUCUUUAUCGAUUUUAAAAGUAUUUCGACUGGAUCUUUCCGCUUCACUUCACUCUAAUUAUUAUACGGAUUUCGCCAUGAUGAAUCACGAGAUGUUAAACAUUUAUACGGUUUGGGCUGAGCAAAUUUCUUAUGAAAUUUUCAAAGACGUUCUUUUCAAUUGUUUAGAAAACUUUGAAAAAAAUUCAGAUGAAUCCGCCGGUACCUUUUCAGGCCAGCUAAUUUUUGAUCAUAACGUAAAUUGGCUUUCUAUGGCCAUUGAUUUGUUUAACAUAUUUCUUGAGACUCGUCAAAAUUUUGCAGGCCUUGAAGAGUUUUCAACUUUGUUUUUGGAAAAGCUUAUUCAAUUAAUAAAAUCUAAUAAAGUAAACACGUUGGUUAAUCGCACGAGGAUAGUUGAUGCUCUUUUAAAAGCAAAAACAUAUUAUAGUUCUGAUAUUGAAUCAAUUCUCGAAAAAGAGGGACUCUC